rnacentral:rRNA from 1 species
GUCGAGCGGAUCUUCAUUAGCUUGCUUUUGAAGAUCAGCGGCGGACGGGUGAGUAACACGUGGGCAACCUGCCUGUAAGACUGGGAUAACUUCGGGAAACCGGAGCUAAUACCGGAUAAUCCUUUCCCUCACAUGAGGGAAAGCUGAAAGACGGUUUCGGCUGUCACUUACAGAUGGGCCCGCGGCGCAUUAGCUAGUUGGUGAGGUAACGGCUCACCAAGGCAACGAUGCGUAGCCGACCUGAGAGGGUGAUCGGCCACACUGGGACUGAGACACGGCCCAGACUCCUACGGGAGGCAGCAGUAGGGAAUCUUCCGCAAUGGACGAAAGUCUGACGGAGCAACGCCGCGUGAACGAUGAAGGCUUUCGGGUCGUAAAGUUCUGUUGUCAGGGAAGAACAAGUACCGGAGUAACUGCCGGUACCUUGACGGUACCUGACCA